rnacentral:rRNA from 2 species
CACGCCGUAAACGAUGAGUGCUAAGUGUUGGAGGGUUUCCGCCCUUCAGUGCUGCAGCUAACGCAUUAAGCACUCCGCCUGGGGAGUACGGUCGCAAGACUGAAACUCAAAGGAAUUGACGGGGGCCCGCACAAGCGGUGGAGCAUGUGGUUUAAUUCGAAGCAACGCGAAGAACCUUACCAGGUCUUGACAUCUUCUGACAAUUCCAGAGAUGGAACGUUCCCUUCGGGGACAGAAUGACAGGUGG